rnacentral:rRNA from 1 species
CCUGCGGAAGGAUCAUUACAGAGUUCAUGCCCGAAAGGGUAGACCUCCCACCCUUGUGUAUUAUUACUUUGUUGCUUUGGCGAGCUGCUCUUCGGGGCCUUUGUAUGCUCGCCAGAGAAUAUCAAAACUCUUUUUUAUUAAUGUCGUCUGAGUACUAUAUAAUAGUUAAAACUUUCAACAACGGAUCUCUUGGUUCUGGCAUCGAUGAAGAACGCAGCGAAAUGCGAUAAGUAAUGUGAAUUGCAGAAUUCAGUGAAUCAUUCGAAUCUUUGAACGCACAUUGCGCCCCUUGGUAUUCCGGGGGGGCAUGCCUGUUCGAGCGUCAUUUCAACCCUCAAGCUCAGCUUGGUAUUGAGUCCAUGUCAGUAAUGGCAGGCUCUAAAAUCAGUGGCGGCGCCGCUGGGUCCUGAACGUAGUAAUAUCUCUCGUUACAGGUUCUCGGUGUGCUUCUGCCAAAACCCAAAUUUUCUAUGGUUGACCUCGGAUCAGGUAGGGAUACCCGCUGAACUUUAAGCAUAUCAAUAA